CAGCAAGUCGUUAUGCCCCUCUUACAAUUUUUCUGAUUUCUUUCUAGAAAAAGUUAUUUUUCUGUGCACUACUUUAGUUUAUUCUGUCCUUUAAGGCCUAUUUAAUCUCCUGAAAAUGAAUCUUAUUAAUAAUAUGCACCAAUCCUGCAAAGACCACCUAAAAGAAGAGGCCUGGAUCACCACUUAUAUGAUUCUGACGAUUAGCUAUUAUUCUGGUUUACCAAAUUGGUUUUACAUUAUCUGGUUAAAACUUUUUUACAACAAAUCGAUGGAUGUAUACAGUUCCAGGGCAGUACAUCUAUCCUUUUGAUGGAUAUUAUGAACAAUGCAUCAGGACAAGUAUAUCUAAAAUUUUAUUUCUUUUGGGUAAAUAAUUAUUUUUACUGGUUUUUAAUGUUCAUCUGAAUUGGAUAGUUUUGAAAUAUAAUUAAGUAAGAAAAAAAUAUACAAAGGGUCUUUGAGUUACUUUUUUGUAGUUCAUUAUCAUCACAGACAAAUUCAGACUAUCUAUUUUUAAUUUGGUUUAAUUUUUGGCUUUUGGUAGAAUACUAUCUACUUAGAAUUUUACUUCAUGUUGUUUUUGGUUUUUGAAAUAGCUUGACUCCCAUAUAUUUUUGAUUGUGGGAAUAAUAUUAUAAUUUUUCAAUCCUGUUAAAUAUUUCAUUGACUGUAUUUCUUAUCGAUUUUAUUUGUUUGGUAAAAUAUACAAUCUAGUAAGACUCUUUUUUUUCGUGUUGUUUUUGGUUUAUUUUCAUUUCUCUGUAAUCGCUUAACUCCCACUUGUUCUCCAUUGUAGGCAUAAUACAUCAUUCAUCAAUUCCAUAAAAUAUUCCAUUACUUGUAUUUGUAUAAGUCUUCUUUUAUUUGUAUUACUUUUCUUAUGGUGUCGUGCUUGUAACUUUUUGCUUGUGUAAUUUCCUGCCCAGAAUUUUAAUUUUGAUGGAUUCAUUGUCCACGUCAUUUUUCUUAGAUCAUAUCCCAUGAAUUGAUCUAUUUUACGGAUUCUGUUGAUUUGGGUUGCCUCUAGUUAAAUAUAAUUUAAAUCCACAAUUAAUCCACAACACUUAAAAUUUUCAAAAUAAGGAUAACUUUCCGACCAGUUCCUGGCGCAUUUUGCCAGUUAUUUAAAAAACCUGUUCACAGAUUGUCACUUCUGGCCUUUCUAGCAUUUUUCCAAAAAAUUUCUUUAAAAAUCUCGCAAUAAGUAUUAACUUCCAAUCGAUCCGUGGCGCAUUCGCCAUUUAUUCGAUAAACCUGACGUCCACUUCUGGUUUUUCUAGCAUUUUAUUUCUGAUUAAUUUUCCUGAUGAGUAACAUCGACUCCAGAGCAUCAUAACUAGCCUCCCCUAAGAGGAGGAGACCCGGGUCACCCCCUAACCCUGAUGUUCGGCCAU